AUUGAACGCUGGCGGCAUGCUUUACACAUGCAAGUCGAACGGUAACAGGGUGCUUGCACCGCUGACGAGUGGCGAACGGGUGAGUAAUGCGUCGGAACGUGCCGAGUAGUGGGGGAUAACGCAGCGAAAGUUGUGCUAAUACCGCAUACGUACUGAGGUAGAAAGUGGGGGACAUUCGGGCCUCACGGUAGUCGAGCGGCCGGCGUCUGAUUAGCUAGUAGGUGAGGUAAAGGCUUACCUAGGCGACGAUCAGUAGCGGGUCUGAGAGGAUGAUCCGCCACACUGGGACUGAGACACGGCCCAGACUCCUACGGGAGGCAGCAGUGGGGAAUUUUGGACAAUGGGCGAAAGCCUGAUCCAGCCAUGCCGCGUGUCUGAAGAAGGCCUUCGGGUUGUAAAGGACUUUUGUCAGGGAGGAAAUCCCUAGUGCUAAUAACACUGGGGGAUGACAGUACCUGAAGAAUAAGCACCGGCUAACUACGUGCCAGCAGCCGCAGUAA
rnacentral:rRNA from 1 species